UAUCAUAAAUAACAGAAGAUAAGGGAGAAAAUGGGUCUGCGAACGCCAUGCAGCUACCUCGAUAACUCCGAUGAAAACUGAACAGCAGAAAACUCGCUCUAUGCAUCAGGAAUACCUGUACCUGCACACAUGGUACAGGGAGUAAUGUGAGUACUCCGACCCAGUGAGUAAUAAAUAUAAAUAAUGACUGAAGGUAAGAAAACACGUUAAGGCACACAACAUUCUAUACAGAAGCAGUGAAAUCAUUUAAAAUAAUAAUUCAGUGAAAUAUCAUGUGAAAUUACUUUUAAACCAGUAAAACAGGUAAUUUGGUAGUAAAAUGACAAGUAAAAACCUGCCCUUCGGGCUCAAUAUCAAAACAACAAGUAGAAAUCUGCCCCUCGGGAUCAGUAUCAAAAUAACAAGUAGAAAUCUGCCACUCGGGCUCAGUAUCAAAAUAAUAAGUAGAAAUCGGCCCCUCGGGCUCAGUAUCUCAGAACAAUAUCAGUCCCUCAGGCUCAGAACAGUAUGAAGCAACCAGUCAAUGAAAUAAGAGCACAUAAUUAUUAUGGCAGAUAAUGCAGAUAAGGAAUAAAUGCAUGAGUGCAAUGCAAUUCAUAUGACAGUACCCUAUGGUACCCACUGCGGCGUGCAGACCGAGCCAUCCUUAUUUAUUUAUCGUCGAGACGCUCAAUGGGGGUGUGUACAGACUCCGGAGGGGCUCCUACAGCCCAAGCGCAAUAUCAAGCCAUCUCGUGGCAUCAAAUCUAGGCCCUCGGCCUCAUAUCAAUAUAAGUAUAAUCACCCAGGCUCUCGGCCUCAAUAUCAAUGUAAUCAACCAGGCUCUCGGCCUCAAUAUCAAUGUAAUCAACUAGGCUCUCGGCCUCAAUAUCAAUGUAACACUGUUGCGGCGCGCAGCCCGAUCCAUGCUCAGUCCAGAAAUCAUCAUAAGCCCCUUGGGCAUUCGUAAAACAAUAGUUCUCAGCCCGAAAUAUCAUUUAGAAAUAUCAUUUAAGUUUUCAAAUCUUAGAAAUAUGGCUGAGUUUGCAACACAGUAUUUAAAACCUUGGACUGAGAUCAAAUGAUAUGCAAAAUAUGUGAAAACAUUGAUAUCAAUCCCUGAAGGAUUCAAAUAAUUGGCAAGAAGCCCAAAUGUAACAAUCAAAUCUAAGUAAGGAUGAUUCUCAUUUUAGUUCAAGUAAAAAACACGGUAAAAAAACAUCUCUCGGGACGGACCAAGUCACAAUCCCCAAUGGUGCUCUACCCCACGCCCGUUAUCUGGCGUGCAAGUCACCUCAAUAUAGCAUUAUGAUGUGAAAUUCCGGGGUUUCAAACCCUCAGGACAUCAUUUACAUCAAUUACUCACCUCAAACCGGCUAUUUCUUUAAUUCGCGAUGCCUUUGCCCCCCGAAUUGGCCUCUCCGUGCGUCGAAUCUAUCCAAAAUUAGAACGAAUAUGUCACAUUAUGUUGUAGGAACAAUACCCAAUCGAAAAUAACUGAAAAACAUCAAAAUCCCGAAAUUUGGCAAAACCUGAGCCCCGGGCCCACUUUUCUAAAUUCAGAAAAAUUAACAUCAACGGAUUCCUUAUCUCUCCACGAGUCUAUACAUAUAAAAUUUACCAAAAUCGGAAAUCAACUCGACCCUCAAAUCUUCAAAUCUUAUUUUCAAAUCCCUAGGCCUAAAUCCCCAAUUUACUCCUCAAAAACAUGUAAUCUAGUCGGAUUAUUCGAUGAUAAUUCAACAUUAUGGAGUAGAAACGAUCAUAAGUGACUUACCUCAAGAUUUCCCGUGAUUUUUCGCUCAAAAUUGCCCAAAAUCAGAGCUUGGAACUAAGAAAAAAAAUGAAGAAAAUGGACUGCCCCUUUAACUGCACAGAAAUUUUCGGGGCACUGUUCACGCAUGCGGGGCACUGUUCUCGCAUGUGGGUACUGUUCACGCGUGUGGAUACUGUUCAC
rnacentral:lncRNA from 1 species